rnacentral:rRNA from 1 species
AUUGAACGCUGGCGGCAGGCCUAACACAUGCAAGUCGAGCGAGCGGCGGACGGGUGAGUAAUGUCUGGGGAUCUGCCUGAUAGAGGGGGAUAACUACUGGAAACGGUGGCUAAUACCGCAUACCAUCGGAUGUACCCAUAUGGGAUUAGCUAGUUGGUGGGGUACCGGCUCACCUAGGCGACGAUCUCUAGCUGGUCUGAGAGGAUGAUCAGCCACACUGGGACUGAGACACGGCCCAGACUCCUACGGGAGGCAGCAGUGGGGAAUAUUGCACAAUGGGCGCAAGCCUGAUGCAGCCAUGCCGCGUGUAUGAAGAAGGCCUUAGGGUUGUAAAGUACUUUCAGCGGGGAGGCGUUACCCGCAGAAGAAGCACCGGCUAACUCCGUGCCAGCAGCCGCGGUAAUAC